CACAAAUAAAUGAAUACAUAAUAUAGCAUAUUUCCUACAGUAAGUAAUUAAUAGGUAAUAUAUGACAUUCCUCAUUUAGGGACUAGAGAAAAGGCUCAGAGGCUAAGAAUAUGCAUGCACCACCCAUGCAGAGGACCUGAAUUCUGUUCCCAGCACUCAUAUCAGGUGGAUCACAACUGCGUCGAACUCCAGCUCCAGGGGAGCUGAUACCCUCUACUGGCCAAUGUGGCAAAACAUGUGGUGAGGUCACAGAUGGUCAGAGGUCAGCACCACCCAGAGAGAGGCCAGACCUACGGAGUAAUUAAAGCCCCAGCAGUCAGGGGUGAACUGGCAAAGAUGAACUAACCUGAAACCCCUCCUCUGUGGAAGACCAUCUCCCCACCUCUCACCUGAGACGGCAUCAGGCCAUCUCUCCAGAGCUAAGCAAAAUGAAUGUGAAAUUUGAUGACAGACUGAGGAUCAUUGCAGUCCCCAAAGAAGACACAUGAAUGGCCAAAGAUUUGCAUUUCGUCAUUAAGUCUCAGAAGCAGCUUUGCGAAGUCGGCAGCAGGAAGGGAAGGAGAUGUUCUGGAUGGUUCUGUCUCCAAAGGCCCACCAAGGAACAGAAAACAAGGUCUAUCCUAUGUAAGAGAGGGAGCCAGGAUGAGAACCUGCUUCAGCUGGUGUCCUUAGAGGAUCACACCUACAGGGAAAAUGUCCUGUCCCACAGUUACCUGGCAACAGCCAGGUGUGCCUG
rnacentral:sRNA from 1 species